CUGCAUCCCUUUUCACAGCUGGAAAUAAACUGUUGUGGUAUGGGCUCUGAAUUGCUUUACACCUGGCUGCCAAUGGGAGAGCUGAUUCUGUGAAGCCUGAGGUGUCGGACUCUGGAUGGAACCCAUACUCUCAGCCACAAUGCAGUGUCACUUCAGUUAGGAACACUGUGGCCCCGGAGGUUGUUUAGCCCACAACCUGACAGAACCAUCGGCUGACUUCUCUUAUUCUUGGCCAGUC
rnacentral:lncRNA from 1 species